AGAGUUUGAUCCUGGCUCAGGAUGAACGCUGGCGGCGUGCUUAACACAUGCAAGUCGAACGAUCCUUCGGGAUAGUGGCGGACGGGUGAGUAACGCGUGGGAAUCUGCCCUUAGGAGGGGGAUAACGGCUGGAAACGGCCGCUAAUACCCCAUAUGCCGAGAGGUGAAACGAAUUUCGCCUGAGGAUGAGCCCGCGUCUGAUUAGCUAGUUGGUGGGGUAAAGGCCUACCAAGGCGACGAUCAGUAGCUGGUCUGAGAGGAUGAUCAGCCACACUGGGACUGAGACACGGCCCAGACUCCUACGGGAGGCAGCAGUGGGGAAUUUUCCGCAAUGGGCGAAAGCCUGACGGAGCAACGCCGCGUGAGGGAUGAAGGCCUCUGGGCUGUAAACCUCUUUUCUCAAGGAAGAAGAACUGACGGUACUUGAGGAAUAAGCCACGGCUAAUUCCGUGCCAGCAGCCGCGGUAAUACGGGAGUGGCAAGCGUUAUCCGGAAUUAUUGGGCGUAAAGCGUCCGCAGGCGGCCUUGUAAGUCUGUUGUUAAAGCGUGGAGCUCAACUCCAUUUAAGCAAUGGAAACUACAAGGCUGGAGUGUGGUAGGGGCAGAGGGAAUUCCCGGUGUAGCGGUGAAAUGCGUAGAUAUCGGGAAGAACACCAGUGGCGAAGGCGCUCUGCUGGGCCAUAACUGACGCUCAUGGACGAAAGCCAGGGGAGCGAAAGGGAUUAGAUACCCCUGUAGUCCUGGCCGUAAACGAUGAACACUAGGUGUCGGGGGAAUCGACCCCCUCGGUGUCGUAGCCAACGCGUUAAGUGUUCCGCCUGGGGAGUACGCACGCAAGUGUGAAACUCAAAGGAAUUGACGGGGGCCCGCACAAGCGGUGGAGUAUGUGGUUUAAUUCGAUGCAACGCGAAGAACCUUACCAGGGUUUGACAUCCUGCGAAUCCCUUGGAAACGAGGGAGUGCCUUCGGGAGCGCAGUGACAGGUGGUGCAUGGCUGUCGUCAGCUCGUGUCGUGAGAUGUUGGGUUAAGUCCCGCAACGAGAGCAACCCACGUCUUUAGUUGCCAGCAUUCAGUUGGGCACUCUAGAGAGACCGCCGGUGAUAAACCGGAGGAAGGUGUGGAUGACGUCAAGUCAUCAUGCCCCUUACAUCCUGGGCUACACACGUACUACAAUGCUACGGACAAAGGGCAGCAAGCUCGCGAGAGUUAGCAAAUCCCAUAAACCGUGGCUCAGUUCAGAUCGUAGGCUGCAACUCGCCUACGUGAAGGAGGAAUCGCUAGUAAUCGCAGGUCAGCAUACUGCGGUGAAUACGUUCCCGGGCCUUGUACACACCGCCCGUCACACCAUGGAAGUUGGCCAUGCCCGAAGUCGUUACUCCAACCCUUGUGGAGGAG
rnacentral:rRNA from 1 species